UACGUAGGGGGCAAGCGUUGUCCGGAUUCAUUGGGCGUAAAGAGCGUGUAGGCGGCCAGGUAGGUCGGUUGUGAAAACUGGAGGCUCAACCUUCAGAGGUCGACCGAAACCAUCUGGCUAGAGUCCGGGAGAGGAGAGUGGAAUUCCUGGUGUAGCGGUGAAAUGCGUAGAUAUCAGGAGGAACACCGGCGGUGUAGACGGCUUUCUGGACCGUAGCUGACGCUGAGACACGAAAGCGUGGGUAGCAAACAGG
rnacentral:rRNA from 1 species